GCCGGAGUGGUGAAAUUGGUAGACGCAGUGGACUCAAAAUCCACCGACCGCAAGGUCGUGCCGGUUCAAUUCCGGCCUCCGGUACCA
rnacentral:tRNA from 1 species